AGCGAACGCUGGCGGCAGGCCUAACACAUGCAAGUCGAGCGGACGUAGCAAUACGUCAGCGGCAGACGGGAGAGUAACACGUGGGAACGCGCCCUUCGGUUCGGAAUAACUCAGGGAAACUUGGGCUAAUACAGAAUACGCCCUUACGGGGAAAGAUUCAUUGCCGAAGGAACGGCCCGCGUCCGAUUAGCUUGUUGGUGAGGUAACGGCUCACCAAGGCGACGAUCGGAAGCUGGUCUGAGAGGAUGACCAGCCUCACGGGGACUGAGACACGGCCCAGACUCCUCCGGGAGGCAGCAGUGGGGAAUAUUGGACAAUGGGCGCAAGCCUGAUCCCGCCAUGCCGCGUGGAUCAUGAAGGCCCUAGGGUUGCAAAGCCCUUUCGGCGGGGAAGAUAAUGACGGUACCCGCAGAAGAAGCCCCGGCUAACUUCGUGCCAGCCGCCGCAGUAACAC
rnacentral:rRNA from 1 species